rnacentral:Y_RNA from 1 species
UGCUGGUCUGAUAGUGGGUUAUCAGAACUUAUUAACAUUAAUGUCACUGAAGUUGGUAUAUAAUCUCCCUAUGCUAAAUUUGACUGCCUUAG